rnacentral:snRNA from 1 species
GGAUGUGAGGGCGAUCUGGCUGCAACAACUGUCACCCCACGGAUUCGGGGUUGAUUCGGCUGAUGUGGCUGGCUAGGCAGGUGUCCCCUCCCUCCCUCACCACUCCCUGUGUGUCCCGCACUUGGUGGAAGAGAAUGGACUUUAGAGCCAGACCGGUCUUCCGUCAAGGGUAUACGAGUAGCUGUGCUCCCCUGCUACAAACUCCAAACAAGCUCUCAAGGUCCAACAACAACAACAACAUCAAUAACAACAGUAACAAUAAU